GACUCAUUAGUGAAAUAAAUGAUAAAAACCUGAUUUUGAAGCAAAAUAAUCAACUUUUAUUUGAAAAGAUUAAAAGGUUAGAAAAUGAUGAUCCUAAAAAAGUGGAGUCCAAACAUGAAAAAAAUUGUCAAAUCAUAAACAAUAAAAACAUUGAAAGCAAUGACAAUUUAACAGUCACAGAAAUACCCAUGUCUCGUAUAACCUCGAACUGGAAACCACAGAACACAUUUACAUCAAACAAUAAACAAAACCCCAAAAUGCAUGAGAGAGAUCUCAGCAAAAAUCAAAAAUUAACGACAACUUCUACGGGAAAAGGGCAUGAUGUGGAAUGUAAAGGUAAACAACAACAAUCACCUAAUAUUGCAAGAAUGCAAGAAAAUAGAAUAAACCCACUUGAUCAUGGUACUGUGGAUCUCACUGGCGUACUUGAGGACAGAAUUCAGUUUUCAGGAGGAGACGGUCAGCAAAUGGGAGAAUGGAAUCUAGUAGGACAUAAAAGGAAAACUUCAAAACGGUCAAGACCAGCUCCAAUUAAAGGAGAAUUAGAAAAAUUCAACUUGACAGUAGCCGAGAACCAAUGUUGUCUGUUCGUGUCGGGUCUGAAUCCAGAUGUAGUUGCUCAAGAAGUGAAGGAAUACAUAGAUGAGACCUUCAACAUAAAAUGCAAAUGUGAAAAAAUGAAGACUAAAAAAGAUAAAUUCAAAAGCUCUUUUAAAAUAUAUGUCCCAGUUGAUUCAAAGGACAAAGUUAUGAAUGGAAGUAUGUGGGGAAAGGGGAUUAUUGUUAACCAUUUUUUACACCUCAGAAGAAACAUCGACAGAGAAUUGAAUUAAGUGAUUGCUUAAAUAUAUUGCAUCAGAAUAUACAAUGCCUGAGAAACAAACUGCCUGAAAUAGAACUCUUGGUAGAAGAACUCGAAAAACCUCCUGAUAUUAUGUGUUUCACUGAACACUGGAUGGAUGGGCAGGAAAUUCAGUUUUUGAAAAUCCCAAAAUAUAAUGUUAUAUCAAAUUUCUCCAGGGAACAGUAUAUCCAUGGGGGAACAUGUAUUUUAAUCAGGGAUAACAUUCAUGAUUUUGAAGACAUUCCAGAUAUCACCAACUUAAGUGUGGAAAAGCAGAUUGAGGUAUCUUGUGUGUACAGCAAAUCGAGGAAAUUAAUGGUCUUGUCUGUAUAUAGAACUUGUCGGGGAAGUAUACAGUUUGUUCACAGCUUACAGGAUGUAUCUUGGCAGGAUGUGAUGAACGAAAUGGAUACGGAAAGAGCAUAUAACGGUUUCUCAGAGAUAAUGAAGAUUCACUUAAACCUUAUCUUCCCACAAAAAAAAUGCACUGCCAGUAGGAACACAAAAUCAUGGAUUACUACUGGGAUAAGAACAUCAAGUAAGCGAAAAAGAGUAAUUUGGAAUGAAGUACAGGAAGGAAAAAUAACACUUGAUUACUAUAGAAAAUACUGUCGAAUACUCAAGCAAGUUACUAGACAGGCUAAAUGGAUGAGCAACAGGAAGUAUAUAAUG